GUCCACGCCGUAAACGAUGGGUGCUAGGUGUGGGGGGUGUCGACUCCCUCCGUGCCGAAGCUAACGCAUUAAGCACCCCGCCUGGGGAGUACGGCCGCAAGGCUAAAACUCAAAGGAAUUGACGGGGGCCCGCACAAGCAGCGGAGCAUGUGGUUUAAUUCGACGCAACGCGAAGAACCUUACCUAGGCUUGACAUGCACGGGAAUGUCGUGGAAACACGGCAGUCCUUCGGGACUCGUGCACAGGUGUUGCAUGGCUGUCGU
rnacentral:rRNA from 1 species